rnacentral:rRNA from 1 species
GAUGAACGCUAGCGGCAGGCUUAAUACAUGCAAGUCGAGGGGCAGCAGGGGUGUAGCAAUACACUUGCUGGCGACCGGCAAACGGGUGCGGAACACGUACGCAACUUACCCUGAACUGGGGGAUAGCACGGGGAAACCCGGAUUAAUACCACGUAACACUGUGAGGUGGCAUCACCUUAUAGUUAUAGCUCCGGUGGUUCAGGAUGGGCGUGCGGCUGAUUAGGUAGUUGGUUGGGGUAAUGGCCCACCAAGCCUACGAUCAGUAACUGGUGUGAGGGCACGACCAGUCACGCGGGCACUGAGACACGGGCCCGACUCCUACGGGAUGAAGCAGUAAGGAAUAUUGGGCAAUGGAGUCAACUCUGACCCAUCCAUGCCGCGUGGAGGAGGAAGGCCCUCUGGGUUGUAAACUUCUUUUACCUGGGACGAAACCUUUCUUUUCUAAGGGAGUUGACGGUACCAGGUGAAUAGGCACCGGCUAACUCCGUGCCAGCCGCCGCGGUAAAAC